rnacentral:lncRNA from 1 species
AUGACCUUUCAUCUUAUUUCUCAUCUGCUGGUCCCAUCAACCCUAACUUUGUAUCUGCUAAAACUCAGGGAUGUGAUAGGUUAUAUUGGGCAACAAUGACAACAAUUCAGUGGGCUAAAGAAAAAGUUUAAUUUCUGCUGAUAUUGCAUAUCCAACAAGGACUGGAAGAGGGAAUCUUCACUUUGGACCCUAAAAGGUCCAGCCUGAUUUUGAAAUUUGAAGACAAAUUGAUAGGUGGAAACACGAUUCAAGGGGAAGAGUGGCUUAUUUAAUUGGUGAAUUUUAGAGAAGAAAUUGAGAAUGUCUGCUACUUUUCAUCCCUCCUGAAACUACUACUAUUUUUAGAGGUGCCUAACAUGUUGACCUGCUCUUUGGUCUUCUGAAUCUAAUUGGAAACCAUCUUGGAACACACAUGUUG